rnacentral:misc_RNA from 1 species
AUUAUAAGCAGGACGAAAUAUUAUUAUGAACGAAAAAUUGACGCUGUUCAAAGAGUUACGAUUGAGACUGUCGAGAAUGGCAGCGGAGGCGGCUAACAAGAAGGCGGAGAGAGAAGCCCUCCGUGGGGUAAUCCAACAAUGGAAUGCUAAUCGGCUCGAUUUGUUCGAAUUGUCCGAACCGAACGAGGAAUUGGAGUUCCACGGGGUGAUGCGGUUCUAUUUCCAAGACAGUGGGCAAAAGGUGGCGACGAAAUGCAUAAGGGUGGCUUCAGACGCUACGAGCCAAGCCGUGAUCGAAACUCUUAUUGAAAAGUUUCGCCCCGACAUGCGAAUGCUGUCAGUGCCCGAAUAUGCUCUGUACGAGAUCCACGAGAACGGAGAGGAACGAAAAUUGGGCCUCGAGGAAAAACCGUUGCUGGUCCAGCUCAAUUGGCACAUCGAUGAUCGCGAAGGUCGAUUCCUGCUACGGAGGAUCGACGACAAGACGAACGCCCAGGGUGUUGGAUUUUCCGAAGGCACCAGCUUCCGGCGGAAACUCAGCAGGAGGGAAAAGAAGCAAAUGAAAAAGCAGGAGAAACUUAGCCGGCUAAAGAGCGCCGGCGAACAAGACGAGAGUGUUAUUGCUGUAGACCAAAAUGGCGUUGCUGAAAAAUUGUAUACUGAACUUCCCGAGACAAGUUUUACAAGAAGUAUAUCAAACCCGGAAGCGGUAAUGCGGCGCCGACGUCAACAAAAAUUGGAAAGAAAGCUCCAGCAAUUCAGAAGCAAAGAUGGUGGUCCAGACACAGGCGGUACCUUGAAGAUCUAUGGCGAAGCAUUGUGCAAAGACGUACCAUACAAGACGCUUUUGCUCAGCGUCAGAGAUUCGGCCGCUCACGUUGUCAGGGAAAUGUUGGCAAAGUACGGACUCGACCGGGCUGAUCCUCAGCAAUAUUGUUUGAUCCAGGUGAACGGAGAGAACACGAACACGAAUCCGAACCAGGAAUACAUACUCGACGAGGACGAGUGUCCCUUGGCUAUACUAAUGAAUCAUCCGACGACACGGGGGUCCAUUAUGUUCCACGUGAGGCGUAGACCAGCGGAUUACGUGCCGAGGAAGCGUAAGAAGAAACCAGCGGGUAAAUGGAGCGACCUGGACCAUCGGUACGAGGACGAGCGUCUUCCCUUCCUUCUGGAAUUGAAUCCGGACGGAACGGAAAUACCGAGCGGCGGCGGUGUGCGACACCGUCUUCAGCCAAACGUAACGGAAGUUGGAUCCGAGCGACCGGUCGGACCUCAGGCUGUACAAGCUCAGACCUUGACCCUUGCUGGACCGACGGUGAUGCCAAGGCAUUGCGUGAUCGCUUUCACGGAGAACAUUGUCACGCUCACCCCGUGUUCCAGGGACGCUCACACAUACGUCAAUAACCAGAGGAUAUAUCAGACCACCAUACUCCAGAAUGGCGCAAUAAUCAAAUUUGGCAGGAUGCACACCUUCAGGUUCAUUGAUCCGGUUCCUGAAGAUCGGAUACGACAGAGACACGACUCGAACAGACAACUGGAUUACUCCUACGACAGACGUUCGCCAGACACCACAAGUCAGGAAGUCAAUUCCGAAAAAUAUAGAUCGGGAUCAGGGACCCCAAACGGUGGGGGUGGCUCGAAUCCACCUAGCCCGACUAAAUCUGCAGCUGCAACCGCAAGAAGUCCCACGCAAAAUGCACACACGCCAGAAGCCACGCACAAUUACGAAACCACCUUUGAUCUCGACGGUAAUGUCGAGACGGCGAGUCUCACUAGCAGUCGGGAUGGAAACAGGCUAUCACAAUAUGAUCGACAUCCUAGAGGUACAGAUCCAAUUUUGCCGGCUGUAUUGGAAUUCCUUGAAGAAACUGAGGAAGCGUUUCUUCACGCAGUUAUUACCGACGUCGAACCAUCCGCUCCACAGUUUAAAUUGGCCCCGACUUACACUUUGUACCUAGCUGCUAGAUACCGGGCUAGCACUCAUUACAGACCAGAGUUACAACCCACGGAAAGAGCUCACAGACUAACAGUCAUGCUCGCAAAUGUAGCUACUAUGAUUCAACGGGUGAUCAAGGAACGAUACAUGGACGCCUCAUCCCUAGCUCUGUGGCUUGCCAAUGGUUCUGAGCUCUUGCAUAUGCUCAAGAGCGACAGACACGUUGGAGCCUUUUCAACCCGAGCUCAAGACAUAUUGGCGGAUGCUGUACACAGGGCUUUUGCAUCUCUCGUGCAAUGCGUAUCGCUGGAACUUGCCCCAGCAAUGUCACAAUUUAUGGCAGAUGCCGAUGAACCAGCGAAGGAAGCAGGAGUCAUGCAAAUAUUUUCGAAUACGAUGGCACUGCUCAGACGUUGUCGAGUCAAUGCUGCACUAACCAUUCAACUCUUCAGCCAUUUAUUUCACGCUAUAAAUGCAACUGCGUUUAACGCUCUUGUUUCGAAUGGAAACUUGUGCGUUAGAUGGUUCGGACGUCGAUUAAAAGCAAGAUUGAACGCUCUGGAGACCUGGGCUGAUAGGCAAGGUCUGGAUUUAGCUAGUCAAUGUCACCUGGCCACCAUCAUGCAAGCUACACACCUCCUUCAGGCGCCCAAAUACAAUGCGGACGAUCUGGCGAUUUUAAGUUCAAAUUGCUUCAAACUUAACUCAUUACAAGUUAGAGCCUUGCUUCAAAAGUAUCAAUCCGCAGCCGACGAGCCAAGAUUACCGGCGGAAUUAAUUGAAAAUGUUGUACGAGUGGCUGAAAGUGUGGCAGAUGAACUAGCUCGUGCUGAUGGACGGGAAAUCCGUUUGGAAGAAGAACCGACAUUAGCUUUAGCUCUGCUACUACCGGAGGAUGGAUACAGCUGCGAAGUGAUUAGAGGAGUACCACCAGGCUUGGCGGAAUUCCUUGCACCAUUGCAGAGAGAUGGCUUGUGCAGAAUGGCUCCACAGCCUACAAGUAGCGGAUAUUGGACUAUCUACAUGAUCGACCACCAUAACAAUCCUCGGAGCCCGAGCGCCAUGAGUAACAGGUCUGGCGGUUACUCGGGUCAUUCUGGGCAAGCAUCGAGUCAAAACCAACCUGAAAUUCAAGUAAUAAAAUUGCACAAGUCCACCAAUGGCAUGGGACUCAGCAUAGUUGCUGCCAAGGGAUCUGGCCAGGAAAGGUUGGGCAUUUACAUCAAGAGUGUGGUAGCAGGAGGAGCUGCUGAUGCUGAUGGUAGAUUAACCGCAGGAGAUCAAUUAUUGAAAGUAGAUGGACAGAGUUUGGUCGGUAUUACUCAAGAAAAGGCUGCUGAAUAUCUUGUUCGUACGGGUCCGAUAGUCACUUUGGAGGUGGCUAAACAAGGUGCAAUAUAUCACGGAUUGGCUACUUUGUUAUCGCAACAGUCCCCUGUCACGACCAGAGCGCAUAAGACCAGACCAAAGUCGGAGCACUUAGAGCCCCCAAGAAUACCAGACAAGGCUCCCCAACCCUCCACGUCGCACUCUAUGGGCAAUCUUUUAUCUGUACCAAAGCAAUCGGCAUACCAAGAACACUUGGUCGAUUGGGAGGCGGACUAUAUUCAACCAGGGCCCCGCCGCAUGAGCGAGCGUGAUCUACCGUCACGACUUGGACACGAUGCUACCCCCCAACAAAUUCAUAGCAGCAAGUCUGUCCCAGCCCUGCAUAAUGUAGGAACAGAGGGAAAACAGCAACAUGAAAUUUUCAAUCCGGGAUAUAGUCGAGCAUCUUCUAGUAAUAGUGUUACCCCUCCAGCACAACCUCCUCCGAUGCCAGCAAUGAACGGAGCAACCACAUUACGUUCUCGAUCAAGUCAUAGUUUACAUGACCCAAUGCGCGCAGGAACGUUGCCACCUACAGGUUUAGUCAGCCGGCAACAAUCAUCUCCUAAUCUGAAUCCAAGCCAAGCACAUACUAUUCUUCCAAAUAGUAAUUCACAAAAUAACGAAGCAGAAAGAUUUUAUCAAAAUUUGAGCGUGUACAGAAAUCAAGAUCCAGGAAUGAAACAACAGCCUAGUCCGCCACAGCCGUUGGACGAUCGAAGCCCUUUGCAUACGCAAAAAAGUUUAAGAGGUUCUCAGAACUCUCUAAACCGACCAGCAACCGAUGCAAGCCAAGGCAGAGAUCGACCAAUAUCUGCAUACAUUCCGCAAGGUCAGCAACAGAAUUACCCUGGCAAUCAACUGCAGCAACAAGGCGCUCCUCCAAGAUCCCAAUCGUCUCGUGACAUAAUCCGUCAAGAAGCCAAACUUCAAGAGAUGCAAGAAGAAGUUAGGAGACGUGAAUUGCGAGGGGCUGGACCUAUCCCUACACAAUACCGCCAAAAUGUUUACAAUGUUCGACCAUUGACUGGGGUUCAAGCACCAAACUCUACUAGACCAUCACGACCGAUCGGUUCUACUCCUAAUUUGGGCCCGACUUCUCCGACAUACAAUACGAGGCAAAGUGCACAGCAUUUUAAUUACCCAGAUGGACAGUAUGGGCAGUACGGUCAAUUCAGUAAACCCCAACAGCCUUACGGACAAUACGGCACCGCACCUAAAGUAAAGAACGAUUCAGUUCGUGGCGGUAAUGGCCUGGUAAUGGACCCCAGGCAGUUGGGACUGCAAGAUCCAAAUCGCCAAUUUCCUAGUGCUCAAAAUAGCCCACAGUAUUCCAACGGAUCAACGGAUCCUAGAAAUGGUCAAUAUCAAGGAGAACAGAUCACAAAUAGAAUGCAAAACGGAGAUGGAAAUAUUCAAGGGAAUGUUGAAAACAUUCUGAUGAGAUCUCACUUACCUGAAGAUGCUUACAGAGAAAGCCCCCCUCCGCCACCGCCAAAUACUUCGACACAUCCAUUGUACAGUAAACAGCCUGACUCUAGGUACACCGCAAGUAUGGGUGAACCUCCCAGAGGCAGUUUUUAUCCCGCAACUGGACCGACGCAACAGCCUCGACAAUAUCAAUAUAGUGCGACUAAUCCUUGGCAACGUGAAGAAAGAGAAAAAGAACAAGCUAGAAGAAGAGAAGCAGCAAGGCAGUGGCGAGAUCAUCAAAUAGCGGAACUAAGUGCAUUGCCAAACAGGACGCCGCAGCAAGAAGAGCAGCUUAGAGCUCUUCAGUUGGAACGAGAUUUUCAAAGGAGAGCAGAAGAGGCUGCAAAUCAGCAAGAUGAUGAUGAGGAAAGUAACGAUCUUGAGCAAGAAAGUGCCCAGCGUGUCCAAGGUCUUCUACGAAUGGCUGCUGCCCAGGACAGAUCGAAUCAAGCCAAUCAGCAAUCAAAUUUGACGAGAGGAAAUCCAAACAAUCAAUCGAUACGGGGAACUCUAUCACCUCAGCCAGUUAGCAGCCAAUUGCAAUCCACAAACAUCCCGACACACACGGCUAUAAGUCAACAAGGACCACCUGGAGGCGGCAGCACAUAUCCUGGACAGAAUGAUGGAUCAGGCACAUCCCACUUACAGCAAAACCAAAGUCAACAGAGUACGAUGAGUCAAGGACCUAUGUCGCCUAUGUAUGGUUCAACUAUGGGCCAGCUUGGAAGUGCUCAGAAGUCGGGCCCCUUAAGCCCUACACAAUUGAACGAAGAUAGAGACCGAGAACGUAGGAUGGAAGAGUUGAAAAGAAAGCAAGCUGAGUUCGAUGAAAAUCAUCGAAAACGCGAGGAAGAUAUCCGACACCAACAACAGCAACUACAAAUGCAUCAGCAAAUGCAACUGCAACAACAAAUAUAUCAGCAGCAACAACAGCAGCAGCAGCAACAGCAGCAACAACAGCAGCAGCAGCAGCAACAACAUCAGUCUAAUUUGAGAAGCCAGCAUCAACUUCAUCCUGGAAUGUUGCGUUUGGAUAAUCUGGUCAUUAAUGGACCAAGUUCUCCCCCGUCCUCGCAAAACGGGAGUAACGAUGCCCCACCCCCACCUGAACGUGGCUCCAGCUACGCAGUGAUGUCUCAACAGAGCGCCCUCAGGUCAAACACUUCAACGACGUCAAGUAUUGCUGUGAGUAAUUCACAUCAAACAGCUGCAGUGAAAAGAGUGUCUUUCCACGAUCCUAAUGCUAACACAGAUCCGACACCACGGAUUACAAACUCUACUACCAAUUCGUCAUCUAUUACGAUGAACACCAUUAGAGAGGAUCCUAAUAUAUUCGAAUAAGAACUUUAUAAAUGAUGCAGAGAAUAUGUUAGCGUCUCCAAAAACUCCAGAAGGGCCUGGUAUAUUUCCUGGAGGGACUCCAGGUGUUAUAGGAGCUCAGGAAGUUUACAAGGAUCCGAGACAGAGACGC